UUUAUGAUGGCGACCGGCGCACGGGUGAGUAACGCGUAUCCAACCUACCCAUUACUAGGGAAUAACCCAGCGAAAGUUGGCCUAAUGCCCUAUGUAGUCGUUUGACCGCCUGAGAUUUCGACGAAAGAUUUAUCGGUGUUGGAUGGGGAUGCGUCUGAUUAGCUUGUUGGCGGGGUAAAGGCCCACCAAGGCAACGAUCAGUAGGGGUUCUGAGAGGAAGGUCCCCCACAUUGGAACUGAGACACGGUCCAAACUCCUACGGGAGGCAGCAGUGAGGAAUAUUGGUCAAUGGGCGAGAGCCUGAACCAGCCAAGUAGCGUGCAGGAUGACGGCCCUAUGGGUUGUAAACUGCUUUUAUAUGGGAAUAAAGUGAGGGACGUGUCCCUUAUUGCAUGUACCAUACGAAUAAGGACCGGCUAAUUCCGUGCCAGCAGCCGCGGUAAUACGGAAGGUCCAGGCGUUAUCCGGAUUUAUUGGGUUUAAAGGGAGCGUAGGCUGUUUGUUAAGCGUGUUGUGAAAUGUAGGAGCUCAACUUUUAGAUUGCAGCGCGAACUGGCAGACUUGAGUGCGCACAACGUAGGCGGAAUUCAUGGUGUAGCGGUGAAAUGCUUAGAUAUCAUGACGAACUCCGAUUGCGAAGGCAGCUUACGGNNNNG
rnacentral:rRNA from 1 species